CCUACGGGAGGCAGCAGUGGGGAAUCUUGCACAAUGGAGGAAACUCUGAUGCAGCGAUGCCGCGUGAGUGAAGAAGGCCUUUGGGUUGUAAAGCUCUUUCGUCGGGGAAGAAAAUGACUGUACCCGAAUAAGAAGGUCCGGCUAACUUCGUGCCAGCAGCCGCGGUAAUACGAAGGGACCUAGCGUAGUUCGGAAUUACUGGGCUUAAAGAGUUCGUAGGUGGUUGAAAAAGUUAGUGGUGAAAUCCCAGAGCUUAACUCUGGAACUGCCAUUAAAACUUUUCAGCUAGAGUAUGAUAGAGGAAAGCAGAAUUUCUAGUGUAGAGGUGAAAUUCGUAGAUAUUAGAAAGAAUACCAAUUGCGAAGGCAGCUUUCUGGAUCAUUACUGACACUGAGGAACGAAAGCAUGGGUAGCGAAGAGGAUUAGAUACCCUCGUAGUCCAUGCCGUAAACGAUGUGUGUUAGACGUUGGAAAUUUAUUUUCAGUGUCGCAGGGAAACCGAUAAACACACCGCCUGGGGAGUACGACCGCAAGGUUAAAACUCAAAGGAAUUGACGG
rnacentral:rRNA from 1 species